GAUGAAGAACGUAGCGAAAUGCGAUAAGUAAUGUGAAUUGCAGAAUUCAGUGAAUCAUCGAAUCUUUGAACGCAUCUUGCGCUCCUUGGUAUUCCUUGGAGCAUGCCUGUUUGAGUAUCAUGAGCAAAUCUCAAAGUCAAUUCCUUUUGUUAAUUCAAUUGGUUUUGCUUUGGACUUGGAGGUCUUGCAGAUUUCACAGUCUGCUCCUCUUAAAUGCAUUAGCUGGAUCUCAGUAAUUAUGCUUGGUUCCACUCGGCGUGAUAAGUAUCACUCGCUGAGGACACUGUUAAAAAGGUGGCCAGGAAAAUACUGAUUGAACCGCUUCUAACGGUCUAUUAAGUUAGACAAUUGACCCUUAAGUUUGAUCUCAAAUCAGGUAGGACUACCCGCUGAACUUAAGCAUAUCAUAAGCGGAGGA
rnacentral:misc_RNA from 1 species